GAUGAAGAACGUAGCAAAAUGCGAUAAGUAAUGUGAAUUGCAGAAUUCAGUGAAUCAUCGAAUCUUUGAACGCACAUUGCGCCCGCCAGUAUUCUGGCGGGCAUGCCUGUUCGAGCGUCAUUUCAACCCUCAAGCCCUCGGGUUUGGUGUUGGGGAUCGGCGAGCCUUUCUGGCAAGCCGGCCCCGAAAUCUAGUGGCGGUCUCGCUGCAGCCUCCAUUGCGUAGUAGUAAAACCCUCGCAACUGGAACGCGGCGCGGCCAAGCCGUUAAACCCCCAACUUCUGAAUGUUGACCUCGGAUCAGGUAGGAAUACCCGCUGAACUUAAGCAUAUCAAUAAGCGGAGGA
rnacentral:misc_RNA from 1 species